CCGUGACGGUCCCAAAGUUGUAAUAAGAUUGUUUUUGUCUCCGUUUAAUUGCAGCAUCUCGUUGUUUUAUGUACGUUUGCGCUCAUCGACGCAAUGUGAGCGUCCAGGCUGAAGGCGACGCGACAUGCGUGUGAAAGAAAGGCUGUAGUGGCCUACGACAUCGGCGUGGUCGGUGUCUCUUUGUGACCGUGCGUCUAACUAUGCCUACGAAGGCCGUGGUUCGUGGCAAAGGAGAAAGCCGCUUCCAGUUGGCCUGAACAGUGAUGAAGUGCACGUGUUUUUCGGCGUAAUCCAUCCUCGACAUCGUUUUCCACUACGUGAAGAACAGGCGUGCACUGAGUGCACAUCGUGACGCGCUUCGCCUUCACACUGAGGGACAUUCGCAAUGCGCAUCGACUGCUCAUAUAAAAGUUACAAUCAGCGGGAAGCAAUUGCAUGGGAACCGACUGACCUCCUUGGAUCUAGGCAUUGCUGAAAAGAUACUGAAGACAUCUGAGCUGACAGGUAGAUGAGACGCAGACGGCUCGACCGAUCAAUGAAGAAAUGGCUUUGUCAAUGAUGGCUCGUCCUUGGACAUUGAAAUCAAGCUACACAAAGGCAUCACCAGCCUCACCUGUGCCCCGAAACAUGGUUUUGGAUGCAACUGUUCUUCGACGUGGCAUGGCCAGAAGAUUCGUCACCACAUACAAGGCUUAGUUCAAGAUUUAAAAUUGUACAGGAGGCUAGAAUAAAUGACCUUCCGUGCAGUCUAUCUUUCUGUAUCUGUGGUAAAA